rnacentral:lncRNA from 1 species
CAUGAUUAGCUUGGACUUGCUAUGAGGAUGUGGAUAAUCUAACGGUUGAGUUGAAUCAAGAUAUAGCUUGGCAUGUCAUGAGGGUUCACUCUUCCGGCAGCAUGAAAAUAGAGCUUGUGUUAUUUUCCAGGAGCAUAUCAUAUAGGAUUUUGGAAUUGGUAUGGUUGUGGACUGAAUUUGCGUUGUUUCUAUAGCAUGACCCUCCUUCAACUCUUUCUUCUCUCUUCAAGAUUCAAACCCCGUGGGUACUGUGCAUCAGUACAUAAGUCAUAUUUCAGAAGCUCGGAUCAGAAAACUUCCUUGAUGAAAGUUGUUCAUCUGCUCGAUUACUGUAGCCUGUAAAAUUUGUAGAAUUGUUUGAAUUUUUCUGAUACCUCAAGGCUGGACUGCAACUUCUGCAUUCAUCCGUGGCUGGUGAGUUUCUGCAGAUUCUGCUUCUGCAUGUGACUUUAAUUUAUGAUGCUUGGAUGAUUGCG